rnacentral:rRNA from 1 species
GGGGAACAGAUUUAUCCGCUGAAGGAUCGGACCGCGUCUCGAUCUAGCUAGAUUGGUGAGGUCAACGGCUCACCAAGGCUACCGAUCAGUAGCUGGUCUGAGAGGAUGAUCAGCCUCACUGGGACUGAGACACGGCCAGACUCCAUACGGGAGGCAGAAGUGGGGAAUCAUUCGGACAAUCGGGCGCAAGCACUGAUCCAGCACAUGCACCCGUGGAUGAUGAAGGACCUAGGGUUGUAAAGUCCUUUCGGAGGGGAAGAUAACUCGACGGUACCCGAAGAAGAAGCCCGGAUAACUUCGUGCCAG